rnacentral:lncRNA from 1 species
AUGAUUUGUCAACAGGUUAAGAAAAAACAAGAACCCAGUAGCAAGGCAGUACUAAAGGCUGGCAAACCACUGCAAACUGAUUGGUUUCACAUCCACAGAAAUCACACCAAACACUGGGGGAAGAGGACAAACAUCCUGUCUCAAAAUUUCAUUCCACCCAUGCUGCCCCCCAAGUGCUGGAGAAGUCGCUGCUGUGCUGCAUUUCGUUGAUAUCUGAAUGGAAGGCUGAGGUUACCUCCAACACGCCAGAAUUUUUUUUUUAUACACGUUCAGCUUACAAAUCCUUUUUGGAACUACAAACAAGAGGCUCUCUGGUUACAAAGGGGUGGCAUUAGUCCCAGAAAGUCAGACUCUCUCCCAGGACAUUGCUCAGUGGAUCAUAUAACCGGCUUCCGAAGGGAGAGCCUGAAACACCAGUACCGUCUGCAGCAGCUUUUCACCUCGCCAAGAGCAAGGCUGUGGGGGCAAAGAUAACUUUUAUAACACUGUGCUGGUGUUCCCACCCUGCUGCUGAUACCCAAAUGUGGCAAUUUAACACUGUAUCUCCCAUUAUCCCAGCUUUAAUGCAGUUCAGAUUAUCUAAUGCAGUUAGAUUUUAAGUCUGACUGAUAAGGGAAUUGAUGUUGGGCUUCUGUAAGAAAUUUGUCUUGUAACAGUACAAAAUGUUGAUGAAGUAACUAAAACAAUACAAAACCACUGUGAAACACAUUAAAUGGAUUAAGAAUUGGCUACCUUCAGGUCUUAAAUGUUAUUAUAACCAGAGAAAUUUUCUUAGAGUGGGUGUGUGUUUGGACAUAUCCCAUAGGGACUACUUCUUGGCUCUACACUAUUGUAUUUUAUCAACAACUUAGGAAAAAAACCCUUUAAAUCAUUAUCAACAAAUUUUUCUGAUGAAAAAGGUCGGGAUAAUGGUCAAAAGAAGGAACCUAGGUCACUGAUACCAGCAGGUAAUUGGCAAUCUGAAGGUAACCAAGUGUAACCAAGUCACAAUGUUGGAGAAAGAAGGUAUUUGACUGGUUGGGACUGCAGUAGUUUUACACUGGAAAGUCAUGACUAAAAAAGGGUUGCAAGUCAUGGUGAGUAAUCAGCUGUCCAUGAACUGACCUAAUCUUUGUAUGUAUAAGCAGAGGAAAUCCAGGGAGAAGAGGGUGAUAAUGUUGUCUGGGUAUUCCCCAUCUCCUGAAACUGCUGCCAACCCAUUGUGCCCCGC